UACGAAGGGGGCUAGCGUUGCUCGGAAUUACUGGGCGUAAAGGGCGCGUAGGCGGCGCAAGUAGUCAGGCGUGAAAUUCCUGGGCUUAACCUGGGGGCUGCGCUUGAUACGCUUGUGCUAGAGGAUGGAAGAGGCUCGUGGAAUUCCCAGUGUAGAGGUGAAAUUCGUAGAUAUUGGGAAGAACACCGGUGACGAAGGCGGCGAGCUGGUCCAUUACUGACGCUGAGGCGCGACAGCGUGGGGAGCAAACAGG
rnacentral:rRNA from 1 species